AUUAGAUUGUUGGCGGGGUAAUGGCCCACCAAGACAGUGAUCGGUAUCCGGCCUGAGAGGGCGCACGGACACACUGGAACUGAAACACGGUCCAGACUCCUACGGGAGGCAGCAGUGGGGAAUUUUGCGCAAUGGGGGAAACCCUGACGCAGCAACGCCGCGUGGAGGAUGAAGUACUUCGGUACGUAAACUCCUUUCGAUCGGGACGAUAAUGACGGUACCGGAAGAAGAAGCCCCGGCUAACUUCGUGCCAGCAGCCGCGGUAAUACGAGGGGGGCAAGCGUUGUUCGGAAUUACUGGGCGUAAAGGGCGCGUAGGCGGUCUGUUAAGUUGAAUGUGAAAACUCUGGGCUUAACCCAGAGCCUGCAUUCAAUACUGGCAGGCUAGAGUUCUGGAGGGGAUAGCGGAAUUCCUGGUGUAGCGGUGAAAUGCGUAGAUAUCAGGAGGAACACCGGUGGCGAAGGCGGCUAUCUGGACAGAGUCUGACGCUGAGGCGCGAAAGCUAGGGGAGCAAACAGGAUUAGAUACCCUGGUAGUCCUAGCCCUAAACGAUGGAUACUUGCUGUGACUGGGAUUGAAUCCAGCCGUGGCGAAGCUAACGCAUUAAGUAUCCCGCCUGGGGAGUACGGUCGCAAGGCUG
rnacentral:rRNA from 1 species